rnacentral:rRNA from 1 species
GUAGUCUCGCACAGAUGCAUAUCAAUAAGCGGAGGAAAAGAAACUAACAAGGAUUCCCCUAGUAACGGCGAGUGAAGCGGGAAGAGCUCAAAUUUGAAAUCUUAAAGGGUUUCCCUUUACGAAUUGUAGUUUAAAGAAGUGUUUUCUGUUGAGGUUUUGGUAAAAGUUCUUUGGAAUAGGACAUCAUAGAGGGUGAGAAUCCCGUAUUUGACCUUUACUUUCAACUUUGUGAUACACUUUCAAAGAGUCGGAUUGUUUGGGAAUGCAGUCCAAAAUGGGUGGUAAAUUUCAUCUAAAGCUAAAUAUUGGCGAGAGACCGAUAGCGAACAAGUACCGUGAGGGAAAGAUGAAAAGAACUUUGAAAAGAGAGUUAAACAGUACGUGAAAUUGUCAAAAGGGAAGCGUUUGACACCAGUGUUGUUUUUCUGAAAAUCAAUUAAAGAACUGUUUAUGCUAAGCUGUUUAGACUUUAUCAGCUAUCUGUUUAGUUUUGAGCUUUUCUUUAAUGCACUUUUCAGUUAACGAAGUCAACAUCAAUUUCUUUUGCUGUAAAAAAGCUUGAGGAAGGUGGCUUGAGAUUCGUCUUAAGUGUUUAUAGCCUCUUGCCUAUGCAGUCGGAGAGAUUGAGGUCUGCAGCGUAGAUCCUUCGGGGCUAAAUGCAUUUGUGCUAAGUUAUAACAUUUUAUAGACAACUUGUUGACUAUGAUUUGUCUUGUAGCUUACUCGCUUAUGUUAUUUUACCUACGCUUAGGAUGUUGACAGCAGUAUAGACUGU